AUGGUGUCCUCCGGCACCCUCUCCUUCGGCAACGAUUCUGACCGUCCGGACUUCAUUGAAGUCUUCAUGCCAGAGGGGGAUUACGAGGCUGCCAUGUGCCUCGCGGUGGUCUCCAUCGACCCCCCGUCGGCGUUAAUCAACGUGACGGUGGCGGUCCAGGCGGUGCUGGCUCGGGUGUUGCCCAACAUCGCCUUUGAUGUCGUCCCCUCCUCCGUCGGGAUGAUGUACCUCCGCUUCACCUCCUGGGCGGAGCGCGAGCAGGCUAUGCAGUGCCAGCCGUUCCCCCACGAGGGCGCGCGCAUUGACCUAUUCCGCGAAGAGUUCUUCGGCCGCGUGCCGCAGCGCGCGCGUUUCUGUGUCUUGCUGGCGGCGACCUCCUUCCCCAUUUAGACCCACCACCGCCGUUCGCGCACAACCCUGCACUCCCUCGUGGGCAUACUGCGCAGCGCCCGCUCGACGCAGGGGCGGCGCUGGCUGAGCUUCGUGGCGGCGUGGGGGGGCACCUCGCCUCCAUUUCAGGCCCUGGGCCAGCACGGUUUUGGGCCCCUGGGGCCUGCCCCGCCGUCCCCGCGCGGCUCACGGGGUGCGCGCUUCUCCGUCGUCAUCUCCGAGCUCGACGAGGAGGACGACCCGGUCGUCCCCGUGCCGGUCGUGGCUCCCCGCCCUGUCGCUGUGGACCAGCGUUGCAACUCUUGUCUCGCGCUCCACGAGUCGGCCUCCUUCAUCUCCAUGGAGGAAAAGGCGGUCAAGCGCCGGGCCCUCAAGGACGCCCUCCUCGGGUGCUCUCCCGGCUGCAGGGCAGGGCGCUCCACGCCAAGGGGGAUCAUCACGGCCUGGGAUCCUCGCCUCUUCGCCCUCGCCACCUCGACCUCCUCUCGCUACUCGCUCUCGGUCUCGCUCGAAUCAACCACCACCGAUCUCGCAUUCACGGUCACCAACGUUUACGCGUCGGUGGAUCAUGCGUUCACCGACGACUUUGUUCUGGACCUCCGCGAGGUGGCCGCGAGCAUCACCCUCCCCUGGUUGGUGGUGGGUGAUUUCAAUCUCAUUCGCUCCCCUGGCGAGAAGAACAAUGCCAACUUCGACGCCGCUCGGGUGAAUGCCUUCAACUCUCUGAUCAACUCUGUUGCCUGGUUUGAGCUCCCCCUCGCGGACCGCCUCUACACCUGGACUAACAACGCUCUCCUCCGACGCAGGCCCAGUUGGAUCCGCUUCGACUUGUUGGGCGUAUACGCUGGGGCCCGGCCCGUCGACGGUGCUGCCCUGGCGGUCACUUUUGACGCGGAGGAGAUCAAGGCCGUGGCCUUCUCCCUCGACCGCACAAGCGCCCCUAGCCCGGAUGGGAUCGGGCCGGCCUUCUACCAUGCCGCCUGGCCGUCGGUCUGGGAGGAUGUUGCCCGCCUGUUCGACGGCAUCUGCUCCAGUGCUGCCUGCCUGGACGCGAUCAACAGGGCAUACAUCACCCUCCUGCCUAAGGGCGAUGGGGGACCCCGCCUCCCCUACAUCUUCUUGCCUGUGGCAGACGUGCUCCAGCGCCUGAUCCGGCACGACACCGUGAUGCAGCACCCCCUGGUCGACGAGGCCCCUCCUCUGGUGCUCCAGUAUGCGGACGACACGCUCAUCAUCAUGCGCGCGGGCGUUGUAGCGGCUAGGAGGCUCCGUUCCACCCUCGACGAUUUCUCCGCGGCGACUGGCCUGGUCAUCAACUACUCCAAGAGUACGCUUGUCCCCAUGCACGUGAGCGGCGUGGACCUGGCGGGGAUGGUGACCACUACCGGGUGCAGGCUGGAGGGGUUCCCCCAAACCUACCUAGGGCUGCCCUUGUCAUCCUCCAAGCUCACCUGGCUGACUUCCACUUCCUCAUCGAUAAAGUGGACCGCUACCUUGCUGGGUGGCGCGCUCGUCUUCUGUCUCCUGCUGGGCGGCUGGUGCUCAUCAACGCGGUGCUGGACGCGAUCCCGUCGUACGCCAUGGGGGGCGCUUAAACUCCCCCCGAAAGUGAUCCAGGCGCUGGAGUCGCUUCGCCGCGCGUUCCUGUGGAACACCAUGGAGCAUGCCUCCGGUGCGCAAUGCUUGGUGGCAUGGGAGCGGGUGUGCAGGGCCAAGGCCGAAGGAGGGCUCGGGGUUCGCGACCUCGCCACCCAAAACGAUUGCCUCGUCCUGAAGAUCCUGCACCGCCUCCACGCGGAGACGCUGUCCCAGUGGGCUCAAUGGGUUGGGGGGGCUCUUGACGGCCGCCCGCUCCUCUCGGGGGCGGAUUCCCCCCUUGCCGGUGACCAUUGGGUGUGCUUGUGCAGGCUCCUGCCCCUCUACUGCGUGCUCACCCAUGUGGAGGUGGGGGACGGGCGGAAGACAUAUUUCUCCCGCCUAGGUGGCGUCUGCUCGGAGAACGCGACCUUCCUCUGGCUCUCGCCGGCCCCUUCGCAUGUUUGCUUCUUCGCUUGGCAUCUGAUGCUGGAGAGGAUUCACACGCGGGACAAUCUUCUCAAGAAGCACGUCGUCGAGCUGAGCGGGGCGGGAUGCCCUACUUGUGUCGCCCCCCUCGAGACUCUGGAUCACCUGAUCUUUGGGUGCUCGUUCGCGCGCGAGUUCUGGGCUGCACUGCGCAUCGAUAGUUCGGGCAGCUCCGUGCGAAAGCUGCAUCUCUUCGACGCCUCCGGGGCGGUUGGCAACGCCACGCCGGGUGCCUUCGUCCUCCCUUGCUGUUGGCACCUGUGGAAGCGGCAGAACGCGGUGGUCUUCCAGCGUACGACCCUGCCCUUGGCCACCGUCAGGAAGGCGUGCCAGGACGACGCAGUCCUUUGGCGGGGGCGCUUCAGCCUGAGCCAGCGCGACCACAUCAAUGUCUAG
rnacentral:rRNA from 1 species